rnacentral:rRNA from 1 species
GCCGCGUGAGUGAUGAAGGCUUUUUGCUCGUAAAACUCUGUUGUUACCCCAGAACAAGUCCUACUUGAAUAAGCUGGCACCUUGACGGUACCUCACCAGAAAGCCACGGCUAACUACGUGCCAGCAGCCGCGGUAAUACGUAGGUGGCAAGCGUUAUCCGGCAAUUAUUGACGCGUAAAGCGCGCGCAGGUGGUUUCUUAAGUCUGAUGUGAAAGCCCACGGCUCAACCCCGCAGGGUCAUUGGAAACUGGGAGACUUGAGUGCAGAAGAGGAAAGUGGAAUUCCAUGUGUAGCGGUGAAAUGCGUAUAGAUAUGCAGAAACACCAGUGGCGAAGACGACUUUCUGUUCUGUAACUGACACUGAGGCGCCAAAGCGAGUUUCGCACACUGGAUAAGAUACCCUACUGCUCCUCCCGUAG